rnacentral:rRNA from 1 species
AGGACGAACGCUGGCGGCGUGCUUAACACAUGCAAGUCGAGCGGAAAGGCCCUUCGGGGUACUCGAGCGGCGAACGGGUGAGUAACACGUGAGUAAUCUGCCCCUAGCUCUGGGAUAGCUCCGGGAAACCGGGAUUAAUACCAGAUACGACCACUUUAGACAUCUGCUGUGGUGGAAAGAAUUUCGGCUAGGGAUGAGCUCGCGGCCUAUCAGCUUGUUGGUGAGGUAACGGCUCACCAAGGCGACGACGGGUAGCCGGCCUGAGAGGGCGACCGGGCCACACCUGGGACUGAGACACGGCCCAGACUCCUACGGGAGGCAGCAGUGGGGAAUAUUGCGCAAUGGGCGAAAGCCUGACGCAGCGACGCCGCGUGGGGGAUGAAGGCCUUCGGGUUGUAAACCCCUUUCAGCAGGGACGAAGCGAAAGUGACGGUACCUGCAGAAGAGCGCCGGCUAACUACGUGCCAGUAGCCGC